rnacentral:rRNA from 1 species
UACAGAGGGUGCGAGCGUUAAUCGGAAUUACUGGGCGUAAAGCGUGCGUAGACGGUUAUCUAAGUCGGAUGUGAAAGCCCCGGGCUCAACCUGGGAAUUGCAUUCGAGACUGAAUAGCUAGGGUACGGUAGAGGGAAGUGGAAUUUCCGGUGUAGCGGUGAAAUGCGUAGAUAUCGGAAGGAACAUCAGUGGCGAAAGCGACUUCCUGGACCAGUACCGACGCUCAGGCACGAAAGCGUGGGGAGCAAAAGGG